rnacentral:rRNA from 1 species
AAUUUUGGACAAUGGGCGCAAGCCUGAUCCAGCCAUGCCGCGUGAGUGAAGAAGGCCUUCGGGCUGUAAAGCUCUUUCGGACGGAAAGAAAUCGCGCAUGCUACUACACUGCGCGGAUGCCGGUAGCUACAUAAGAAGCACCGGCUAACUACGUGCCAGCCGCCGCGGUAAUACGUAGGGUGCGAGCGUGAAUCGGCCGUACUGGGGUGAAAGCGUGCGCAGGCGGUUGAUUAAGAACGGCGUGAAAUCCCCGGGCUUAACCUGGAACUGCGCUUGUGACUGGUCAGCUAGAGUACGGCAGAGGGGGGUGGAAUUCCACGUGUAGCAGUGAAAUGCGUAGAGAUGUGGAGGAACACCGAUGGCGAAGGCAGCCCCCUGGGCCGAUACUGACGCUCAUGCACGAAAGCGUGGGUAGCAAACAGG